CUCUCCCUCUCCCCCUCGCACGCUCUCCCUUUCCCUCUCCCUCUCCCUCUCCGCUCGCUCUCCUCUCUCUCUCUCUCUCUCUCUCUCUCUCUCUCUCUCUCUCUCUCUCUCUCUCUCCUCGGCCCUCUGCUGCAGUUCGGUCUUCUGCUGCUCGUGAAUCUCGGAUUCUCAUCCAUCUCAGUUUGCCCUAGGGAGUUCGUCAGAAGUGCUUAUUACAUCUGCAGAUUCUCAAAUCAGGGUUGUUGAUGGUGUUGAUCUGAUUCACAAGUUCAAAGAUGCUUACCUGGCCCUGUUGAUAUAAUGACUUCAUUCUUCGCAUCCAUCACCUAAUCAAUCCAAAGUGCAAACCCAUGGCAUAUUCCAGGUCUAGUGAACUCUACUUGUAGUACAAAAAAGUUUAAAAUGCAAUGUGGAACUAAAGAGCAGAACAUAGAGGCAGCCAUUCCAUGUACGC